rnacentral:rRNA from 1 species
CUGCUGCCUUCCGUAGGAGUCUGGGCCGUGUCUCAGUCCCAAUGUGGCCGUCCGCCCUCUCAGGCCGGCUACUGAUCGUCGCCUUGGUAGGCCGUUACCCUCCCAACCAGCUAAUCAGACGCGGGCCCAUCUUAUACCACCUCAGUUUUUCACACUGCGUCAUGCGCCGCUGUGCGCUUAUGCGGUAUUAGCAGCUGUUUCCAGCUGUUAUCCCCCUGUAUAAGGCAGGUUGCCCACGCGUUACU